UACGAAGGGGGCUAGCGUUGCUCGGAAUUACUGGGCGUAAAGGGCGCGUAGGCGGCACUGUUAGUCAGGCGUGAAAUUCCUGGGCUCAACCUGGGGACUGCGCUUGAUACGGCAGAGCUUGAGGAUGGAAGAGGGUAGCGGAAUUCCCAGUGUAGAGGUGAAAUUCGUAGAUAUUGGGAAGAACACCGGUGGCGAAGGCGGCGACCUGGGCCAUUACUGACGCUGAGGCGCGACAGCGUGGGGAGCAAACAGG
rnacentral:rRNA from 1 species